rnacentral:rRNA from 1 species
UGCUCUCUGGGUGGCGAGUGGCGGACGGGUGAGGAAUACAUCGGAAUCUACUUUUUCGUGGGGGAUAACGUAGGGAAACUUACGCUAAUACCGCAUACGACCUACGGGUGAAAGCAGGGGAUCUUCGGACCUUGCGCGAUUGAAUGAGCCGAUGUCGGAUUAGCUAGUUGGCGGGGUAAAGGCCCACCAAGGCGACGAUCCGUAGCUGGUCUGAGAGGAUGAUCAGCCACACUGGAACUGAGACACGGUCCAGACUCCUACGGGAGGCAGCAGUGGGGAAUAUUGGACAAUGGGCGCAAGCCUGAUCCAGCCAUACCGCGUGGGUGAAGAAGGCCUUCGGGUUGUAAAGCCCUUUUGUUGGGAAAGAAAUCCAGCUGGUUAAUACCCGGUUGGGAUGACGGUACCCAAAGAAUAAGCACCGGCUAACUUCGUGCCAGCAGCCGCGGUAAUACGAAGGGUGCAAGCGUUACUCGGAAUUACUGGGCGUAAAGCGUGCGUAGGUGGUCGUUUAAGUCCGUUGUGAAAGCCCUGGGCUCAACCUGGGAACUGCAGUGGAUACUGGGCGACUAGAAUGUGGUAG